rnacentral:ncRNA from 1 species
AGAAACACGUUGAGAAGAAGAGUAGGGCAAGGGAGCUGUCCAGAGAGAGGCGCAUAUGGUGGAAGCGCUUUACAGGGAGUUUGUCUGAAAACCAUCUUUGAGUGUCCCUUAAUCGGGAACGGUGAUUCCGUUAUCAUCACAAACGAGAGGCAUAAGGCAGAACUGCUUUAUGCAAGGAGGGUGGAACCGCGAGUAUAUCGUCCCUUGC